UACAGAGGGGGCAAGCGUUGUUCGGAAUUACUGGGCGUAAAGGGCGCGUAGGCGGCCUGUUAAGUCGAACGUGAAAUCCCUGGGCUCAACCCAGGAACUGCGUCCGAUACUGGCAGGCUUGAAUUCGGGAGAGGGAUGCGGAAUUCCAGGUGUAGCGGUGAAAUUCGUAGAUAUCGAGAGGAACACCGGUGGCGAAGGCGGCGAUCUGGACGAUGACUGACGCUGAGACGCGAAAGCGUGGGGAGCAAACAGG
rnacentral:rRNA from 1 species